rnacentral:rRNA from 1 species
AACGAACGCUGGCGGCAUGCCUAACACAUGCAAGUCGAACGAGACCUUCGGGUCUAGUGGCGCACGGGUGCGUAACGCGUGGGAACCUGCCCUUAGGCUCGGAAUACCUCCCCGAAAGGGGGGCUAAUACCGGAUAAUGUAUUCGGACAAAAGAUUUAUCGCCUUUGGAAGAGCCCGCGUUGGAUUAGCUUGUUGGUAGGGUAAAAGCCUACCAAGGCGACGAUCCAUAGCUGGUCUGAGAGGAUGAUCAGCCACACUGGGACUGAGACACGGCCCAGACUACUACGGGAGGCAGCAGUGGGGAAUAUUGGACAAUGGGCGAAAGCCUGAUCCAGCAAUGCCGCGUGAGUGAUGAAGGCCUGAGGGUUGUAAAGCUCUUUUACCCGGGAUGAUAAUGACAGUACCGGGAGAAUAAGCUCCGGCUAACUCCGUG